AAGCAGCUUGCUGCUUCGCUGACGAGUGGCGGACGGGUGAGUAAUGUCUGGGAAACUGCCUGAUGGAGGGGGAUAACUACUGGAAACGGUGGCUAAUACCGCAUAACGUCGCAAGACCAAAGAGGGGGACCUUCGGGCCUCUUGCCAUCAGAUGUGCCCAGAUGGGAUUAGCUUGUUGGUGAGGUAACGGCUCACCAAGGCGACGAUCCCUAGCUGGUCUGAGAGGAUGACCAGCCACACUGGAACUGAGACACGGUCCAGACUCCUACGGGAGGCAGCAGUGGGGAAUAUUGCACAAUGGGCGCAAGCCUGAUGCAGCCAUGCCGCGUGUAUGAAGAAGGCCUUCGGGUUGUAAAGUACUUUCAGCGGGGAGGAAGGUGUUGUGGUUAAUAACCGCAGCAAUUGACGUUACCCGCAGAAGAAGCACCGGCUAACUCCGUGCCAGCAGCCGCGGUAAUACGGAGGGUGCAAGCGUUAAUCGGAAUUACUGGGCGUAAAGCGCACGCAGGCGGUCUGUCAAGUCGGAUGUGAAAUCCCCGGGCUCAACCUGGGAACUGCAUUCGAAACUGGCAGGCUUGAGUCUUGUAGAGGGGGGUAGAAUUCCAGGUGUAGCGGUGAAAUGCGUAGAGAUCUGGAGGAAUACCGGUGGCGAAGGCGGCCCCCUGGACAAAGACUGACGCUCAGGUGCGAAAGCGUGGGGAGCAAACAGGAUUAGAUACCCUGGUAGUCCACGCCGUAAACGAUGUCUACUUGGAGGUUGUGCCCUUGAGGCGUGGCUUCCGGAGCUAACGCGUUAAGUAGACCGCCUGGGGAGUACGGCCGCAAGGUUAAAACUCAAAUGAAUUGACGGGGGCCCGCACAAGCGGUGGAGCAUGUGGUUUAAUUCGAUGCAACGCGAAGAACCUUACCUGGUCUUGACAUCCACAGAAGAAUCCAGAGAUGGAUUUGUGCCUUCGGGAACUGUGAGACAGGUGCUGCAUGGCUGUCGUCAGCUCGUGUUGUGAAAUGUUGGGUUAAGUCCCGCAACGAGCGCAACCCUUAUCCUUUGUUGCCAGCGGUUAGGCCGGGAACUCAAAGGAGACUGCCAGUGAUAAACUGGAGGAAGGUGGGGAUGACGUCAAGUCAUCAUGGCCCUUACGACCAGGGCUACACACGUGCUACAAUGGCGCAUACAAAGAGAAGCGACCUCGCGAGAGCAAGCGGACCUCAUAAAGUGCGUCGUAGUCCGGAUUGGAGUCUGCAACUCGACUCCAUGAAGUCGGAAUCGCUAGUAAUCGUGGAUCAGAAUGCCACGGUGAAUACGUUCCCGGGCCUUGUACACACCGCCCGUCACACCAUGGGAGUGGGUUGCAAAAGAAGUAGGUAGCUUAACCUUCGGGAGGGCGCUUACCACUUUGUGAUUCAUGACUGGGGUGAAGUCGUAACAAGGUAACCGUAGGGGAACCUGCGGUUGGAUCACCUCCUUACCUUAAAGAAGC
rnacentral:rRNA from 1 species